rnacentral:lncRNA from 1 species
UUUCUAAAGAUUGUUGAGCAGAUAUGAUAUAAUGUCUAUUUUAAUGUCUAUUGUUCCUAUUUCUCUGCUAAUUCUGAGCUGUCUGGGGCAGUGAAACAAAACACAAAACACCAGCCUAACUUGGAAAGAGAAUUGUGGUUAGAUAGAUAAGGCUGAGAAAAUGCUGGUGGAUGUUUGGAAUUGGAUAAAGAAAUAUGCAGAGCUUAGGAUGAUGUCUUACAGUUUCAGUGGAUGCAAAGACUGUGAUAAUUGUGAGGACCAAAGGAUUGAAACACGAAGCCAGAAGGCUGAAUUCCCCUCUGGAUGACACCAGCACAAAGACUCUGAAGCCAGGGGUAUUGAUACAAGUGAAGAAGUUCAACAAGACUAAGUGCUGCGUCCUGCACUUUGGACGCAACAGAGCUAUACGCCUGGGCAGAGUGCCUGGAAAGCUUUGUGGAUGAAAUAGACCUGUAUGUGUUGGUUAACACUUAGCUAAAUGCAUCUUGGCUUGUAUCAGAAAUAGUGUUGCCAGCAGGAGCCAGGAAGUGAUCAUCUCUCCAUACUCUGCUCUGUUGAGGCCGCACCUUGAGCACUGUGUUCAGUUUGGUGCCCCUCCCUACAAGAAAGACAUUGAGGCCCUGGAGUGUGUCCAGAGAAGGGCAAUAAAGCUGGUGAGGGGUCUGGAGCA